UACAGAGGGUGCAAGCGUUGUUCGGAAUCAUUGGGCGUAAAGGGCGCGUAGGCGGUCAGCACAAGUCAGUUGUGAAAUCUCCGGGCUUAACUCGGAAAGGUCAACUGAUACUGUGCGACUAGAGUGCAGAAGGGGCAACUGGAAUUCUCGGUGUAGCGGUGAAAUGCGUAGAUAUCGAGAGGAACACCUGCGGCGAAGGCGGGUUGCUGGGCUGACACUGACGCUGAGGCACGAAAGCGUGGGGAGCGAACAGG
rnacentral:rRNA from 1 species